UCAAUCAUGUCGGGCUAAGCCGAUGUGUUAAAAGGGAAACAACCCAGACUCUCAGCUAAGGCCUCUAAAUAACGGCUAAGUUUACAAGGAAGUCAUAUACCGCAGACACCCAGGAAGUUGGCUUAGAAGCAGCCAUCUUUUAAAGAACGCGUAACAGCGCACUGGCGGAUGGUAUGUGGCGCCGGAAAUUCCGGAGGAUCAAGCCGUUUGCCGAAGCUAGAGACUCGAAAGAGUGGUAGGGGAGCGUUGUAAAGGCAGUGAAGCAUUGCUGUAAGGCGGUGUGGAGCGUUUACAAGUGAGAAUGCCGGUAUGAGUAGCGAGAUAAUGGUGAGAAGCCAUUACUCCGUAUGUCCAAGGUUUCCUCCGCAAUGUAAAUCAGCGGAGGGUUAGUCGGUCCUAAGGGCGUGCCUCGCAGAAUGGGGUGUAGCCUGAUGGAUAAGUCGUUAAUAUUCGACUACACGGUGUAGUACGUAUAAGGGAGUUACGAAGUUGGAUAGAUCGAGCCUGCGCAAGUGGGUACCAAGCAGCGAGGAAGAGUUAACUGGAAAAUCCGUUAAUUUGUUUAUGUGAGCUGUUAUGGAGAGCUUACCGAAAGGUGGUAAUUCGAUUGAAUUCAGUUUCCGGGAAACACUUCAUUAUGUUUCCGUAAGGCAAACAAUGCUACAUUUGUACCGUACCGCAUAACCGACACAGGUGGACUGGUCGAGAAGACUAAGGAGAUCGGGAGAAAGUGGAUCAAGGAACUCGGCACAAAAGCUAGGCGUAACCUUUGGGAGAUGCCUUACCGGUGGGUAAUACCGCCGGUCGCAGCGAAAGAUUGCUUACCAACUGUUUAUCUAAAACACAGGUCCCUGCAAAGCCGAAAGGCAACGUAUAGGGGCUGACACCUGCCCAGUGCCAGUAAGUCAAAUGUCUCUGAUGAAACCGCAAGGUCAAGUUUAGGACAUAAGCUCUGGUGAACGGCAGCAGUAACUAUAACUGUUCUAUGGUGAAAUUCGUCGCCUUAGAAGUGACGUGUUUUGGAAAUUUGGCUAUAUGCUGGAAUAUCUGAGAAUCUUACACUAGUUGUUACUCUAAUAAAUUUAGAGUUAUACUGAAAAUGUGAUAAGUGCAGACAAUCAGCAGGAAAGACUAAUUGGUUGGAUUGUUGGGUUUACAGAGGGAGAAGGGUGUUUUUCUAUUGGUUUUGUUAAACAACCUCAAAGAAAAGACAGAAAGGGCUAUCAAACUGGUAUUCAAGUAUGGCAUGAAUUUGCUAUUACGCAAGGGGCCAGCAGCCUAUCUGCUCUAGAAAAAAUCAAAAAAUUCUUUGGAGUUGGAAACGUUUAUAUCAAUAAAAGAUAUGAUAACCACAGAGAACAUCUUUAUCGAUAUGUUGUGAGAAAAAGAGAGGAUUUAUUGAAUACAAUUAUUCCUUUCUUCAAAAACAACGAAAUGCAUACAAUAAAGAAAAUGCAGUUUGAAAAGUUUUCAAAUAUUCUUGACUUAGUACAAAAUGGAAAACAUUUAACUUGGGAUGGAUUGGAAGAAAUUUUGAAAAUUGCUGAAACAAUGAAUGCACGUAAAUCUAAAGCGUCACUAAUUAGAAUCCUCAGAGACCAUAUGCCAAAGCCCAUGAGUAAUCAGGGUAAGAUAUGGUCCCGACUGCAUGGCGACAUGCAGGUACAAUAAGCCUUUUAUUGUACAGAGUCUCAAUAUUGAGAUGAAGAUUUCAAGCGAAGUUCCUUGUCGGGCAAGUUCCGACCCGCACGAAAGGUAGAAUGAGUGAGCAACUGUCUUGAUCCAUUACCCGGCGAAAUUGAGAUGGCCGUGAAGACGCGGCCUAGUAAUGCAUGGACAAAAAGACCCCGGGAGCUUUACUGUAGCUUGGCAUUCGUUUGUUUAUUUUAUAUGUUUAGAAUAGGAGGGAGCCUUCGGGCAAUCGUGAAAUACCUCUCUUUGGAAUGAAUGAACGUUACCUCUAUCCCGCACAAAAAUCCGGGAGGGGAACAGUGUCUGGCGGGCAGUUUAACUGGGGCGAUUGACUCCUACAAUGCAACGGAGUCGUACAAAGGUUGGCUAGCCUUGGAUGGAAAUCAAGGUGAUAGCGCAAACGCAAAAGCCAGCUUGACUGUGAGACUUACAAGUCGAGCAGGGACGAAAGUCGGUGUUAGUGAUCCUGCGAUGCUUAGUGGUAGGCACGCAGCUUAACGGAUAAAAGCUACCCCGGGGAUAACAGGCUGAUCGCAUCCAAGCGUCCACAGCGACGAUGCGGUUUGGCACCUUUUGUUUGAUACAUUGGGGCGCCUGCAGAGUAAUCUGCAAGUCUGGUUCAGACUCUAUAUCUAACCCAUAUAGAUAAGGAAUUAAAAAUACUAGUCAAAAUCGGUGGACACCUAUCAUUUCAUGAAGAGACAUGGAGGAUAGGCCAAUACCGAGGGAAGUCAAGUUUACUUGACCCCGUAUCGACUCGAUCGAAAGAUCGGAUGGAAUGUCCAGUUUGGAACUUCCAUAUACGACUAGCUCCUUCGCAAGAAGGAUGAAGGUAUAGUCAGUGCUCUUAGUAAUAAGAGGAAGACAGCGAUGUCGGCUCAUCCUAUCCUGGGGCUGGAGAAGGUCCCAAGGGUCUGGCUGUUCGCCAGUUAAAAGGGUACGCGAGCUGGGUUCAGAACGGCGUAAGCCAGUUCGGUCUCUAUCCUGCAUUACCGUCGAGAUUUGAGAGGAGCCGUCCCUAGUACGAGAGGACUGGGAUGGGGGAAUCCCUGGUGUGCCGGUUGUUGGUAAUCAUUCCAGCAGUGCCGGGUAGCUAGAUUCCCAAGUGAUAACCGCUGAAAGCAUCUAAGUGGGAAGCACACCUCAAGAUAAGAUCUCUUAGACCCCUUACAGAUCAUAAGGUUGAUAGGCGGGCGAUGGAAGUACAGCAAUGUAUUAAGUUUACCCGUACUAAUGGUCAUCGGAGUAGAUAA
rnacentral:rRNA from 1 species